CCCUGAAGACUGGGAGUGAGUUGAGGGGUGCCAAAAGUGCCAAUAUGUAUCUUCUUUUUUUACAACAACUAGGACACGCAGGCGAAAUCGGUUUUCUGUUCUUUACUUCGUGUCCCAGUUGUGUAAAAAAAAAAGGUAAAGAUUGGCAUUUUUGGCACCCCUCAACUCACUCCCAGCCUUCAGGG
rnacentral:pre_miRNA from 1 species